rnacentral:lncRNA from 1 species
AAGAAAGAAAACAAAAUUGUGAUGUUUCUGAUUGGUGGUCCAAACUUUCCUGAGAACCACUGCAUUGAACAAGGAGAUGAUCUGAGACAGGUGAAACCAGUGGAAUGAAUGUUUAAGAAACCUGCAAGCUUGGGAAAAAAGGCCAGCAACUUGGAAAGAUUAAUCAAAAGGAUAUUUGGGAAGCUUAUCACCUCCACCUCUUGUUUGGUUUGUUUGUUUGUUUGUUUGUUUGUUUGUUUGUUUGUUUUUGAGACAGAGUCUCGCUCUCUCGCCCAGGCUUGAGUGCAGUAACAUGAUCUAGGCUCACUGCAGCCUCUGCCUCCCGGGUUCAAGGAUUCUCCUGCCUCAGCCUCCAGAGUAGCUGGGACUACAGGCACAUGCCACUGUGCCAGACUAAUUUUUGUAUUUUUCUUUUCUUUUUUAGUAGAGACAGGGUUUCACCAUGUUGGACAAGCUGGUCUCAAACUCUUGACCUCAGGUGAUCUGCCCGCCUUGGCCUCCCAAAGUGCUAGAAUUACAGGCAUGAGCCACCAAGCCCAGCCUCUCCUCCACCUCGUAAGUGUUUUCAAAGUAAAGCCAGAAUCCUCAACUGCUUCUGCCCCCAUGAAAUCAUUACCCUUCAAUGAGCCAAUUCAAAUGCUGCUUCUUUUGUGAAGCUUUCUGCCACCACCCUUCCCUCCCAGAAUGUUGUACUUUCCCUGAUCUGCUUCAUAACACCUCCUUCCAAGCACACAUAGGAUUUCACGCAUCCUCUAGUAGCUAGGUGGUACAGGUCUGAUUUCCCAUCAGACUGUGAGCUUUUUGAGGGCAUUCAUAAUGACCUUCUUUUCUGUAGUGCCUACAAUUACAGCAGAAAAGCAGCACUCAAAAUGUUUGUUGAAGCUCUCCAGUGAACUGGGGUUCUAAUUAUUGAGUGAAGAACUUGACACUAAGUGGCUGUUGCCUGCAUUAUCCCAACCCAUCUCUGCAGAGAGAUGGGAGCAGCAGAGGGCGCUGUCACUGCAGGUGUAGGGGCAUUUUUCCUCUCCAUGACAUGCCAGAUGGCCCCCCGGGGCCACAGCUCCACCGUAAGAGUCCCCAAUUUUGUUUUGUUUUUUUACAGUGAGGGUGUUCUAGAGGAAAGGGCUCAACGAAUCCAAUUGCAAUAGCUCCAGUUUGUGAUAAAGAUGACAAUUUUUUUUUAUUUGAGACAGAGUCUGGUUCUGUUGCCCAGGCUGGAGUGCAGUGGCACAGUGUUGACUCACUGCCACCUCCACCCCCGGGGAUUCAAGCAAUUAUCGUGUCUCAGCCUCCCGAGUAGCUGGGAUUACAGACCCCAACCUCCAGCUAACUUUUGUAUUUUCACCAUGUUGGCAAGGCUGGUUUUGAACCCCUGAUCUCAAGUCAUCCUCCUGCCUCAGCCUCUCAAAGUGCUGGGAUUACAGGCAUGAGCCACGGUGCCUGGGCUGACAAAUAUUUAUUAUUGAGUUUGUGGAACCCAGAAUGAUCUAGGGCCUCAGUGGCCACUGAACCCUGGGGCACACUUGAACAAAAAUAUGGGCUUCUCAGCCACUAUGCCUUGACAUCCUCUCUAAUCAGAAGUUUGUGUAAUAAGUGCAAAAGACAAUAUUCACAGUGACAAUGAUACUGUGAACUGCCAUAGGGAGAGUAGACAUGACUGUGGUGACAAUGCAGCGGCAGCAGGACCCUGUCCUCUCAUAAGUGGGCAUCCUUUCCCCAUGUGAACACCACAUAGCAGAAACGCCCAUCUUCCAAAGCCCUUUUAUCAUGUUAUGAAUUAUUUACACUUCCAUAUAUUUCAGUUAAAGAGUGGUAAUCAGAUCUGUAUGGAUGCCACUUGGGUCAUUUGUCAUUUCACUUGAAGGCAAAGAAAUGUUUUUAACUGGGAUAAGAUUAGCUGCCGAGGUGGAGCUGAUAUCUGAGCGAGGCUCUCGAGGACACAUUCUGGAUAGAUCUCCAUAUGGGAGUUGGAUGACUGCCACCAGCCAGUCUUGGCAGUCCCCAGAAUUCUUCUGAAGUGGACAGUGGAAGAAGUGAAACAUUUGCCUGGCAGCUGGCAUCAAUGCAGUCUCUCUCUGGACAUGCAGAAGAAAAGGUUCAAAAGGAACUGAACCCAAACCAGUCUUUAUUUGAUUUUAGAUGGAAUUAAAACAUUUUUGUGGGUCUCGACAAGUAUUGCCAGCACUGCACCUGCCACCCUGAUAGUUAUUAAUUACCAAUUUACUUUGUGUGUGUGAGAGACGGGUCUCGCUCUGUCACCCAGGCUGGAGUGCAGUGGUGCGAUUCCGGCUCACUGCAACCUCCACCUCCCGGGCUCAAGCGAUUCUGCCACCUCAGCCUCUGAAGUAGCUGGGACUGCAGAUGUGCGCCACCAUGCCCAGCUAAUUUUUGUACUUUUUGUAGAGACGAGGUUACGCCAUGUUGGCCAGGCUGGUCUCCAACUCCUGAACUCAACCUAUCCUCUCACUGCAGCCUCUCAAGGUGGUGGGAUUACAGGCAUGAGCCACUACACCCCACCUGUUAAUUGCGUCUUUAUCUCAGUAGGUUGAAGUAUAUUUAUACAGCCUCUGCUCUGUGUCAAGUACUGAGCUGAGCUCAGCAGUUGCAAUGGCAGGAACACAGACCCAGCCCUAUUCCUUAUAUGGCUGACUCUCUAGUGGGAAAUAUGGACAUUAAACAAACGACCACCUAAAUAUAACACUGCAAACUGGAGUUCAUGGCAUGAACCAUGGAAUGCUAUCAAAGCACUGGGAUCCCAAUCUAAUCUGGGCAUCAGAGAAAGCUUCCCUGAGGAAUUAAAAUUUGGAUGAGGUCUCAAUAAUUAGUUGAUGAAUUAGGCAAACAGUGGGAGCAAGGAUGUUCCAGGCAGAGGCCAACUACAUGGGUCAGGUGCACAGGACAUAAACCGAGCCAUCAAGAAGCUUCCAAUGUGAAAAGAGAAUAAACCCAUAGAGACAAGCAAUGAAGUGCUGCCAUGAGACAGAUGUGUGGAGCAUUUGAACAAUGGGAAAGUGCUGCUAGGAGAGAGGUGGUGUUCAAUUCAAUGAAAGCAAUGUAGGAUGAGAUCUGUAAGGAAGACUAGAUAAGCCAAGAGGCAUGCAGAGGAUCUUAUCCAUUUUAGAGCCCUGGGGGCUAUUUACUGGAGUAGCUGAAGAUAGCACCGUGGACACAGGCUGAAAAGGAAGGAAUUGCUAUGAGCUCCAUGUGAGGCAUCAUAGAUGAGACCUAUGGAGCUAUCCAAGAUCAUAUCCUGACACAGUGGUCAAAAUAAAGAAGCAAGUGUGAGCAGUGGUGAGGUGAUGGCUCAUUUAAAGAAAAGCCAUGCCCUGCAGACUGGUCCCAAGCUGGAGACCCCUUUCUCUAAUUGUCUGAAGAAUCCCUUUGGCAGGCUGUGUAAUACGCAUGACUCCAAUCUCUUGAAGUCUCUAGAUGGAGGCCACAUCCCAUUGCCUUUACAAAACAUCCUCUUUAUCCAUGGAUGUUGAUACUUGAGAACUUAACAGAAAGAACUUCAUUCCUUCUGUGAAGAUCAGUGAAGCUCAUAUUAUUAUCUGACUACAGAACUGCUCAAUGUUCAUCCCAAAAAAGUAAGACUCCCUUAAAUAUCUGCAUAAGAUUCAUUUUCUGUGUUUUAUUUUCCUAAUUUUCUUCAAAGAAGAUGUGUUACUUUUGUUAAUAAAAUAUUAAAAAUGUAAACCAUGGAAUCAGGGAAGGAAAAUGGCAGAUAGGAGGCAGGACUAAAUUACAGCUGACACUCAGAGGGACAGAGCAGCAUGUGGAGACUCACGUUGUGAAUUUUUGCUCCAGAACUACUACUGCAGGAUUAUACCAGGAAAGCCAAGAGAAUCCACAGACCCUCUGAAGGAAGUGGAUAGCUCCUGCAGGACCCAGGAGACAGCCCAAAUACUACACAGCAAGAAGGUGCAAUCUAUGAACCAGAAAGUGGGCCCUCACCAGACACUGAAUCAGCUGUUUGUGUCUAGUGUCUUGACCUUGGACUUCCCAGCCACCAGAACUGCCAGAAAUAAAUUUCUAUUUUUUAUUAGUUAAAAAAAAGUAAGCCAUGUAGAUUAUUCAUUAACAUAUGAAGCAAAAUGGAAUCAUAAAAAUGAAACAUUCAUUACAAUUUUUUGGAAACUGCUAUUUGUUUUGUUUUGUUUUUGAGACUAAGCCUCGCUGUGUUGCUCAGGCUGGAGUGCACUGGCUGUUCACAGAUGUGACCAUGGCACGCUGCAUCUCAAACUCCUGGCCUCAAGUGAUCCUCCUGCCUCAGUCUCCUGAAGAGUUGGGACUACAGGGGUGUACCACCACACCCAGCCUUGUUUGUUUUUGAAGAUAAGAUCCAUAUCUGAAUUUUUUAAAUCAGUGACUGAGCAACAUAAAACAUGAGGAUUUCCCAGAUUGCCCUUCUUUUGUUGAAAAUAUUAAAAAGUGAUCUUAAAUGUAUGGAUACAUAUAAAACACUAAGAUUUCUCCAUUUGGUUUAUGUACUUCAUAAUAGCUUGUGACAUGCUCAAAAUAACAUGAUUUUUUUCAAUUAUUUCUUUUGCUCUUUUAAAAAUCACAUUUUAUUGAAUUUAUUCAUUCAUUCAUUUUGAACACCUAACAUAUACUAACAAAUGUGCCAAGUCCAGAAGAUUCAAGGCUGAAUCAGAGGACAUCCUUGACUUUAAAAAGCUGACAGACUAGAAGAGCCAAGCCUACAUGAAAAUAAAUAAAUGCAAUACGGACCAAAAGCACAAUUAUCGAAAUAUGUGCAGGGUAGAGGUGCUGAGCAGUGGGAAGAUACAGAAUAACUAAUGCCUGUUAGCUGCUUCUGUAUGUAUGCCAGGUAGUGUUCUAAGUGCUUUACUUACAUAUAUUAGCUCAUCGCCAACCUGUGAUCGUUUCCAUUAUCAUAUUGUUACACUCAUUUUAUAGAUGAGGGACUGAGACAAAGAGUGGUUGCCUAGCUUGCCCAAAGUCACUCAGCUAUACUGAGUGGCAGAACCAGGAUUUAAAUAAUAUGAACUCUGUGCUCUCAACCUCUACACAUUUGCUGUCCAGACUGUCCAGCAGACUGUCUAGGAAGAAAUGCAAAGCACUUUAAGCAGAGAGGGCAGCUUGGGCAAGGGCACUAGUGCAGGAAAGACACAAGCACCUUGUGGAGUCAAGCAGAUAGGAUACCAGAAGGCUGAGGAAUAUGCCACAUCAUAGGGAGGCUUGGAUCAGUUUUGGUAGACAAUGAGAGGACAUUGAAGGAUUUUAGUCAGAGGAGUGAUGGGGCAGAUCUGUUUCUUAAAAAGAUUAUUUUGACUGUGUUAGGGAGGAUGUGCUGCAGAGGAUCUGGAUGCAGGUGGGGAAGGGAGGAUGUGUUGCAGGAGGAUGUGUUGCAGAGGGAGGAUGUGCUGCAGAGGGUCUGGAUGCAGGUGGGGGAACCCCCUUUAGAGACGACUUCUCCCAGGUAAGAAAAGGCUGUAGCAGUGGAGUUGGAGAGAGAAGAAUGGACCAGAGCUAUUUUAAGGAAGACUAGGCCAGUGCUGGUUUUGAUUAGUGGAUGUCAAACUUAGUGGUCGUUUGGUAUUUUUACACGAAACCUUCAACAGAAUCAACAGUGUGCUUCAUGAAGGCAGAGCCCAGAUUUGUUUUUCUCGCCGUUGUACUCCCAAGACUUGGUAAUGUGCUCAGGAAAUGCUUAUUGAUUGAAUGAGUUAAUGAAUAAGUGAAUAAACCAAGAAGUAAAUAAAAAAAAGAAUGAAUCAAAGAAAUGACUCAGUAUUGGAUUAGACCAAGUGCAUAAGAGAAGAAGUUAAUGGACUCUCAAAUGACUUGCCGAAAAGAUUAAGUCAAUUUCUCUUUUCUUAUGCAAUACAUUUUGUGUCCAGGCCUUUCUUAUGAGUAUUGUGUGUGGAACAUAAAGCAACCAACUUAGCUCCACGAUUUAGCUAUUGGGAGACCCAUGAAAGAGCCUACCCAGCCCUGCCUGCCUCUGGGGGUCUCGGUCAUGUCAUGUGACUACAUCGCUUGGCUCUGUUUCCAAGUUCCCCACCUCUAACCUCUCUGGAGCUCACAUUCAUCUUUCAAAAACAUCACUUCUGUUAUAUCACCCAUCACUCACUCCCUUCACUACACAUCUCUUUGCCCUGCUUUAGUUUUCAUCUGAGCACUUACUGUUUCCUGACAUUAUGUCAUUCAUUCAUUCAUUCAUUUAUUCAUUUUAUUUGGUUCUAUCUCUCUGUUAGUUUCCUAUUGCUGCAGUAGCAAAUUACCAUAAACUUAGUGGCUGAAAACAGAUUUAUCUUGCAGUUCUUGAGGACAGAAAUCUGAAAUGGGCCUCACUGAGAUAAAGUCACUGUGGCCAGGGCUGCAUUAUUUCUGGAAGCUCCAGGGGACAAUCUGUUUCCUUACCUCUUUCAGCUUCUAGAGGCUGCCCUCAUUUCUUAUUUUGUGGACCCCUUUGAUCUUUAAAGCCAGCAAAGGCAGCUUGAGUCUUUCUCAUGAUGCUGUCUCUCUGGUCUCACUCUUCUGCCUUCCGCUUCCCCAUUCAAGGACUCUUGUGAUUAUAUUGGGCUUGCCUAGAUAAAGCAGGAUAAUCUUAUUUUAAGGUCAGCUGAUUAGCAACUUUAAUUCUAGCUGCAAUUUUAAUUCCCCCUUGCCAUGUAACAACAUAUUUAUAGAUUACAAGGAUUAGGAUGUGGAUGUAUUUUUUUUUUUUUUUUUUGAGACGGUGUCUUGCUCUGUCACCCAGGCUGGAGUGCAGUGGCACAAUCUCGGCUCACUGAAACCUCCACCUCCCGAGUUCAAGCAAUUCUCCUGCCUCAGUCUCCCAAGUAGCUGGGAUUACAGGCAUGCGCCACCAAACCCAGCUAAUUUUUGUAUUUUUAGUAGAGACAGGGUUUCACCAUGUUGGCAGGCUGAUCUUGAACUCCUGACCUUGUGAUCCACCCGCCUCGGCCUCCCAAAGUGCUGGGAUUACAGGCAUGAGCCACCGCACCUGGCCCAGGAUAUGGAUGUCUUUGAGGGGCCAUUUCCUGCUUAGCACAAUCUGCCUCUUAUAGAAUUUAAGUCUCUUGAGAGCAAAACUUUAUCUACUUUGCUCUCUACAGUACAGCCAUUGAUUAGAAGAGGGCCAGUAUAUUGUAAGCAUGCAGUAAAUAUGUUUUGAAUAAAUCAGCAAAUCUUGUCCUUCUUUUUCACAAUCCAUCUCAUACCAAGGCAGAAUAAUUUUCCUUCAUAUCAGCAUGGAUCAUAAUAUACUCUUUGAUAUGGUUUGGCUGUAUUCCCACCCAAAUCUUAUCUUGAAUUGUAGUUCCCAUAAUCCCCAUAUGUCAUGGGAGAGAGCCGGUGGGAGGUAAUGAAUCAUGAGAGAGGUUACCCUCAUGCUGCUGUUCUCAUAAUAGUGAGUGAGUUCUUACAAGAUCUGACGAUUUUAUAAGGGGCUUCCCACCUUUUGCUCUGCACUUCUCUUUCCUGCUGCCAUGUGAAGAAGUACGUGUUUGCUUCCCCUUCUGCCAUGAUUGUAAGUUUCCUGAGGCCUCCCCAGCACUGUGGAACUGUGAGUC